ensembl:snoRNA SNORD59A small nucleolar RNA, C/D box 59A
UCUUCGGUGAUGAUUUUUAACCUGAUGACUUUCGUUCUUCUGAGUUUGCUGAAGCCACGAUUAGAAUCUGAGCAAGA